AAAACGACUCUCGGCAACGGAUAUCUAGGCUCUCGCAUCGAUGAAGAACGUAGCGAAAUGCGAUACUUGGUGUGAAUUGCAAAAUCCCGCGAAUCAUCGAGUUUUUGAACGCAAGUUGCGCCCGAAGCCAUUCGGCCGAGGGCACGUCUGCCUGGGUGUCACGC
rnacentral:rRNA from 2 species